ensembl:snRNA U6 U6 spliceosomal RNA
GUGCUCAUUUCCACAGCAUGAACACUAAAAUUGGAAUGAUACCAAGAAGAUUACCAUGGCCCCUGCACAGGAUGGCAUGCAAGUUCAUGAGGCAUCCCGUAUUUUA